UUUUUUUUUUUUUUUAAAACAUUUAACAAAAAAUAGUUAUUAAAUCUAGUUUCAUUUUUCAUUUUCUUGAUCCUCUAGUCCAUUAUAUUUUUAUUUAAUUCUGUUAUCUGUUAAUUGUUUAAUAAUUUAAUUUUACUUUUAAAACAUAAGCUGAAAACAUGAAGUGACAACAUGGCACUCUUGAAAUUCCAAGAAUUACUCAUUCAUGAGAAAUAGCGCAUAUAGGCUAUAGCCCCCAUUCCAAUUCUCUCUGAAACCGCUAUAAUAGGGUAAAUUGCAUGAUUCCUCAUCGGUGCAUGACUUCUAUAGCAAGUUGGUCAGUUGGUCAUCAACCUUUACAUUGAGUUGUUAUAAUUUUUAGCAUUUCGUUAUUGUAC
rnacentral:lncRNA from 1 species